AUUGCUAUCACCAGUAGUGGAAUAAAAUUACUUUGCUUAUACCCAUCGUGUCUCGGUGUUUGUGAUUUUGGGAGUUCUCACGAACCUAGAACAGUAUUCAAGUGAAUAAGGAGCAAAACUAAUCUAACUUGUUUGUGUUCAUUUGUUUGAAGUGGUGGCUUUGUAUGAUUUUCUGAUUUAUUAGUUUAAAUUUACACUUUCAUUAUAUACAAUUGAUAGGUCUGUCUGUUCAAAGAAAUUUGCUUUUGUAUUUCCCAAAGUAGUGUUUUGUAAUGUCUUGAUUCAGUGCAUUCCAGUGAUGGAGGAACUAAUCAAUAGGAAUACAAUCACUUCUGAAAGAAUUACUACAAGACUGGUCAACAGGUGAUGACAUCUUGUGUGUGACACUAUGAAAGCAUCAAUGGAUCACCAAAAGGAAAAAAUUCAACGAGAAUGAAACUGUACAUGCUCAUCUCAGUUACAAACAUAUUUAAUAUUACAGAGUUCUUGGUUUUUAAAGAGUGGCUGUUAGCAAGCAAGGAUACAGUUUGAGAGGAGUGGGAAUAAAAAGAGCCUUGAUCUUAUUUACCUCAAGCAGCUGCUGAAUCUCCAGUGUGUCCUGUUCCAUAAGCAGCUGCAGAGUGGAAUUUUUUGAACAGUUGUAUUGAGUUUCAUAGCAGGGAAAACUGGUUUUUUGACAAGUGGUUGUUACCAUGAUCUCUACUGAAAGCAAGAUGUCAGAAGGA